AGGGAUCCCGGCGGUUGUGAUU
rnacentral:misc_RNA from 1 species